UCUCUCGACAGGCAUGGACCGACGCGCCCUGCUGUUUGUUCUGCUGGUGUGCAGCGCCUUGAUGUCCACCACCGCAGAGGCAUCGCCGGUGCCUGAAACCAAGCCUCGGCGCCCUGGCGGUGGCGGUAUCAACACGAGUGAAAAUCCAAGAACCUUACCCCCCAACCCAGUCUGUCUGUGCUUGCCGCCCCCCUGCACGUGUUCACCCCAUCCACCUUGACCUGACCCCGCAACGCCCGCACGAACACCGCCAACGGACCACGGACCACGGACAACUCCCAUCUUAUUCUUUUACUAUAUUUACUCCCCAAUAAAGGCAUGCAGUUCUCCCGCUAUGUGGCUCCUCAUUACCCUGUGUGGGGACGGGGGACAGCGGUGGGUCCAGGGCCUGGCAGGACCUGGUGGUGACGAGGGAGUGCCUUUGUCACGGACCCUAACACCAUCAUCAGGGAAACUGUAACAACACACCAGGAGAUCUGUAAAUGUACAGCGCUGAGCGCCGGGCACUGAACCCAGGCCUCGGGGAUGAAGGCGGAGCACCACACCCACUGAACCACCGGCGUGCCACGGGACCACUGCCAGGUUAAGCGUCCCGGUAAGUUGCUUGUGAUAUCAACGGUUUUUACUGUCAAAGGUUUUGCUUUACCUUGGCACCAUUACACUGCCAACCUGUUCAUGUGUGUUCUCAUGAGUGUGUUGCCUUCGCGUACAUGUCUACGCCCCACAUGACUGUUGCCUGCACACACAUCUUGCUCCUGCAGGCACUUGUUCUG